UUGGUGGAGGUGGAAUUUGGGGGAAAAUAUAAUAAAGAAACGCGGGUCGGGGAAGACGACUGCGGGGGGCGAGAUGCGUGGGUUUUGAACGCGGAGAGGAGGCGAUGCGGGGUUGGAAUCGACGAAUUUUUGGGACGGUGGCCGUGGAAAAACGCGGUUUUGUCCACCGGGAAGACGACCAGAGCUGCCCAACGAACCCCUUUUCCAAGUAGUACUAGCGUGUCUGCGUGUGUGACGAGACUGACGACGCUUGGCCAGACCCGUCCAUGCGGGCAAAGAACCGAACCCCCACCGCCCCACGACGGGCCGGCAGCGGCGGGGCCCGCGCGCGCCACCACGGCGGACUCCGCCCGGUACCGCUUCUCCAUGGACUCACUCGAUCUUGUUCUUGCACCGGUUGGGGGUCUUGGCACUGUUGCCGCCGCCGGGGGGCUUCCCCGCGGCCGCGGCGUCGUCGGUGCAAUGCACGAACACCUCGCGGGCGAUGUCGCCCUAGUCGCUCCACUUAAGCUUGGCGCGGUCCCGCAGCAGCUAACUUGUCUCGAGCAGGCGCACGACGGCACGGGCUGCUCAACACCUCUAUCAGAGACUGAAUUUUCCCAAAAGGAGAAGCUUACAAUUGCAGUGAUCGGACAGAAAUGUUGA
rnacentral:misc_RNA from 1 species